GACCCAAGUACUUGACUCGG
rnacentral:snRNA from 1 species